GGCGCUAUAGCCAAGUGGUUACGGCGACAGAUUAGAAUUUGCCAUACUCCGUUCCAAGAUCUGUUCCUCUUUGAGGGCGCAGGUUCAAAUCCUGCUGGCGUCG